rnacentral:rRNA from 1 species
UACGUAGGGGGCAAGCGUUGUCCGGAUUUAUUUGGGCGUAAAGAGCGUGUAGGCGGCCAGGUAGGUCUGCUGUGAAAACUCGAGGCUUAACCUCGAGCUGUCGGCGGAAACCAUCUGGCUAGAGUCCGGAAGAGGAGAAUGGAAUUCCCGGUGUAGCGGGUGAAAUGCGCAGAUAUUGGAAGGAACACCAGUGGCGAAAGCGGCUUCCUGGUCCAGCACCGACGUUCAGGCACGAAAGCGUGGGGGAGCAAACAGGG